UACGAAGGGGGCUAGCGUUGCUCGGAAUCACUGGGCGUAAAGCGCACGUAGGCGGCUUUUUAAGUCAGGGGUGAAAUCCUGGAGCUCAACUCCAGAACUGCCUUUAAUACUGAGAAGCUUGAGUCCGGGAGAGGUGAGUGGAACUGCGAGUGUAGAGGUGAAAUUCGUAGAUAUUCGCAAGAACACCAGUGGCGAAGGCGGCUCACUGGCCCGGUACUGACGCUGAGGUGCGAAAGCGUGGGGAGCAAACAGG
rnacentral:rRNA from 1 species